AGAAGAGUCCGACCGGCCACUCUUGGAGGUCUUGUUCAAAACUCCCUUCCUGGGCACGCUUCCCGUGACUUCCUAGCGCAACCAGGCACCCCUUCCGUACCAAUGAGUGUGACGUCAUGGAUGGAUGACUAGAUGGAGAGGAUGGUGAUGGAUGAAGAAACAGAACGGCUGGCUGCCCCCCUAGACUCAUCAGACCGGCUGCGAGUGGCACCUGUCACCCACCGUGCCUGUGCCUCGCUGUCGCUUCUGCCCGUGAAUUCUUAAACCAGCCUUCCCAGGCCUGCACCCAUGCCCACCUUACUUAGCAGUUCCCAGCAGUGCCCCGUCCACACUUCUUCACAGAAUAGACCUUCAGUCAAUGCUGUUGACACACCUUUUGAUGUGUUUGAAAACGAAGAGUGAAGAUUCCUGAGCCAGGUUGCCACAGAGAAGGGCCUAGAGAAUAAAGUGCUUCUGAAUGGCUCCAUCCGAGGCAUAUCUGAAGACAGAAAAUUCCAAAGGCUUUCCCGGACGGCCUCUAGGAUGGGCUCUAUUAUUAACCUCCUGCGCGAGGCCGAGCUUCUCCCUGGCCUUGCGUGACUGAAAUGAGCUUCUCCCGGGCUCACGCCGUGGCUUUGUGGGCCACAACCACUUCCUAGAAGCCAAGUUCAUCUGAGAAAUGAGGGAGGCCCUGGUGGUUUGUGGUUACAGAAGGCGUUUCCUUUGACACUCAGCUGGGGGAAGGACAAGCAAUCCACAGCAGGCCCGAGAGAAGGGGAGCAGAGCCUGCUUUGGGAUGUCCAGAGGGCGUCCAACCCUUCUAGCAAGAAGAGCCCUCCCCUGCAUCAAGUGCUUAUUGGGGGGUAGGGGGGCAAAGGCCCUGAGACACCGGCAGCCACCUCGGGGGUGUCCCCGGUAUUCAGAGGGUGUCAGAGAAAGGACAGUGCAGGCCUGCUGAGAAGUGAGCUGUGUCCUUUGGAAUUGCUGAGUGGUCAUGGAGGGGUAGGGGUGGGGUGGAUGAGAGACAGACGACAGGUGUAUAACCAAAAUGCAACUCAGCCUGUAGACAAUUCCCAGCCUGUGGACAGUGUCUAAGCAUGUCCUACCAUCCACCCUUUUGAGAAGGGUCCUCCCAGCCCCGUUCACGAAAGACGAGGCUGACACUCGCACCCUCCAGGAUAAACGCUCCUGACAGCAGAGAGCCACAGCCCUCCACGACUGCCAGAGUGAGUGGAGGCCUCUCACAGCGUGAUCUCAAGGCUCUGGGCAAACCUCCCAGCUUAUUAAAAAAAAAAAAAAAAAAUUAAUUUUCCCAUGAAUCGGAUAAUACCUGAAAUUCCAUCAUCGCUUUGCCUGAGGCUUAAACGUCUGGAAAAAUACAAACACGUAGGGGGAGCACUCCAAAUAGUAUCAUUUACACCUCAAUGUCUGGAACCCUUCUGGAUCCUCUCCUGCCCGCAGGUUUCCUGAGGGGCGGGGCUGGAGCAGGGGAGAGAGCCAGAGAGUCAUGGGUGACUGAGGUAGGAGGAGGCCUGGAGGGGCGGAGGAAGGGGCGCAGGCUGGAAACCAGCUCCUAAACAAACUGGCCCUGCACAGUUUUGCCUGGGGCCACCCCGCAAGUCACUGUCGGAUUCACUCACUGUUGCUGAGCUCUAGAGAAAUCGGGCACCGGCCUCUCCCAGCAGGGCCCGCGUCUUGGGCACAGGCCCGCAUCGUGGCUCAGGGCCUCCGCACUCAGAAGGGCCCCGCGCUUGUGUGGUUUAAUGCUUUGUUACCACCAUCUUGAAGAUUGUAUUAAAUGUUUUUUUUAUUAUUCAUUUUUGAGAGAGAGAGUGCACAAGCGGGCGAGGGACGGAGACACAGGGGGACAGCGGAUCCCAAGCGGCCUGUGCACUGACAGCAGAGAGCCCGUUGCGGGACUUGAACUCAGGAACCGUGAGAUCGUGACCUGAGUCGAAG